AUUGAACGCUGGCGGCAUGCUUUACACAUGCAAGUCGAACGGUAACAGGCCUUCGGGUGCUGACGAGUGGCGAACGGGUGAGUAAUGCAUCGGAACGUACCCAGAGGUGGGGGAUAACGCAGCGAAAGCUGUGCUAAUACCGCAUGUGAUCUGAGGAUGAAAGCGGGGGACCGAGCAGCAAUGUUUGGCCUCGCGCCUUUGGAGCGGCCGAUGUCGGAUUAGCUAGUUGGUGGGGUAAAGGCCUACCAAGGCGACGAUCCGUAGCUGGUCUGAGAGGACGACCAGCCCCACUGGGAGUGAGCCACGGCCCAGACUCCUACGGGAGGCCGCAGUUGGGAAUUUUGGCCGAUGGGCGGAAGCCUGAUCCAGCAAUGCCGCGUGCGGGAAGAAGGCCUUCGGGUUGUAAACCGCUUUUGGCAGGAACGAAACGGUGUCCGCUAAUACCGGGCGCUAAUGACGGUACCUGCAGAAUAAGCACCGGCUAACUACGUG
rnacentral:rRNA from 1 species